UACGAAGGGGGCGAGCGUUGUUCGGAAUUACUGGGCGUAAAGGGCGCGUAGGCGGCCCUCUUUGUCGCGUGUGAAAGCCCCGGGCUCAACCUGGGAACGGCGCGCGAAACGGGGGGGCUGGAGUUCGGGAGAGGAGCGUGGAAUUCCUGGUGUAGCGGUGAAAUGCGCAGAUAUCAGGAGGAACACCUAUUGCGAAGGCAGCUCGCUGGGACGUAACUGACGCUGAGACGCGAAAGCGUGGGGAGCAAACAGG
rnacentral:rRNA from 1 species